UACGUAGGGUGCAAGCGUUAAUCGGAAUUACUGGGCGUAAAGCGUGCGCAGGCGGUUGUGCAAGACCGAUGUGAAAUCCCCGGGCUUAACCUGGGAACUGCAUUUGUGACUGCAUGGCUAGAGUGCGGCAGAGGGGGAUGGAAUUCCGCGUGUAGCAGUGAAAUGCGUAGAUAUGCGGAGGAACACCGAUGGCGAAGGCAAUCCCCUGGGCCUGCACUGACGCUCAUGCACGAAAGCGUGGGGAGCAAACAGG
rnacentral:rRNA from 1 species